rnacentral:rRNA from 1 species
UACAGAGGUCCCAAGCGUUGUUCGGAUUCACUGGGCGUAAAGGGUGCGUAGGUGGUGACGUAAGUCGGAUGUGAAAGCUCGGAGCUCAACUCCGAAAUGGCAUUGGAAACUGCGUCGCUAGAGGGUCGGAGGGGGGACUGGAAUACUUGGUGUAGCAGUGAAAUGCGUAGAUAUCAAGUGGAACACCAGUGGCGAAGGCGAGUCCCUGGACGACUCCUGACACUGAGGCACGAAAGCUAGGGGAGCAAACAGG